rnacentral:rRNA from 1 species
GGGUGAGUAAUGCAUCGGAAUGUACCGUGUAAUGGGGGAUAGCUCGGCGAAAGCCGGAUUAAUACCGCAUACGCCCUGAGGGGGAAAGCGGGGGAUCGAAAGACCUCGCGUUAUACGAGCAGCCGAUGUCUGAUUAGCUAGUUGGUGAGGUAAGAGCUCACCAAGGCGACGAUCAGUAGCGGGUCUGAGAGGAUGAUCCGCCACACUGGGACUGAGACACGGCCCAGACUCCUACGGGAGGCAGCAGUGGGGAAUUUUGGACAAUGGGCGCAAGCCUGAUCCAGCCAUGCCGCGUGUCUGAAGAAGGCCUUCGGGUUGUAAAGGACUUUUGUUCGGGAGGAAAUCCCGCUGGUUAAUACCUGGCGGGGAUGACAGUACCGGAAGAAUAAGCACCGGCUAACUACGUGCCAGCAGCCGCGGUAAUACGUAGGGUGCAAGCGUUAAUCGGAAUUACUGGGCGUAAAGCGUGCGCAGGCGGUUGUGCAAGUCUGAUGUGAAAGCCCCGGGCUCAACCUGGGAACGGCAUUGGAGACUGCACGACUAGAGUGCGUCAGAGGGGGGUAGAAUUCCGCGUGUAGCAGUGAAAUGCGUAGAGAUGCGGAGGAAUACCGAUGGCGAA